GCUCGUCGUGCGGACCUGCAGCCCGGGGAGCGUGAAGGAUCCACAGGGAACACCCAGCUCCAGGUCUGUCUCUGCCCCUCGGGCCACAUUGUCCCUGCUGAGUUACUUAUUACAGGAAUUACCGUAAGGUGCUGGGCGAACAGAAGUUAUUCAUGUUUUCCUCCUUUAAUCACUAGCUCGGUUGUUCCCACACUUUAGUUUCCUAGGCCAGCAAAAUCGUUCACUUUGUCUCAUUGGAUUGUCUGGGCGCCAACGGAAUAGACAGGAGUCGUCUGUAAUAAGCACAUGAAUAGCUCCAUGGGGGAACGGGUACUCGGGGGGUGUUUGGAAAGCCCUUCCAUGGUGCUUUCCUUUAACUCUCCAAAGAUGUGAAAUAUCUCCUCCAGAGAGUUAGUGGAUUCUAUCCUUAUGCCCAGAGGCUUAAACACACACACACACACACACACACACACACACACACACACACAGCACAAAGGGAAAUUUUAGGUUGCAUCUGCGGGGGGAGGCUUCCUGAGUCCCACAUGGGGUGGCUGAGCCACGGCCCGCUCCCCAGCUUGCGGGGCCUGGCUGACCAGCUGUGAGCACGCCCUUCUUAGCUGAGCCAUCCCCUACAUCAGGCCUGUGUUCUUCCUAAGUCAGCACUGGGGAUAGGGAAGUCAGUGAGACUGCAGGGCUCUGGCACAUUCUAAGAAGCUAGGAGCAGCACCCUUCGUGCUGCCCAGGAGGCUGAGCUCAGCUACAAGGCCCCAUGGUGGCCGCCCCAGGGGGGCCUCUGAUGCAGUCAGGCCACAGCAACAAGGGGGGCCAUCUGUCUUUGGUGCCUCAUCUGUCUCUUUCCGCCCUCCCUCUUGCCGGCCCCACGGCCCCCGGAGGAGCCGCUCCGCGCGGACGUCUACAUGGCUGGUCUAGCAGACUCUCCGACAGCGGAUUCCCACCCAUCAGCGGACAGGUGUGGUGCCGGCCUCCUUCUGAGUGAGGGACAGCAUACAUCUGAGGAAACGGCCUCCUUGGAAGGACGUUUUCACCACAGAAAAUAGGAAAGAGAAAAAAAAACUACAAGGCCGUGUCUCCUGGACUUCAGAACACAAAAGGCAAUUCAUCUUCUUCGGACAGAUCUUUGCCCAAGCACUUGAGGAACGGGACCCCUUCCUUUCCAGCUUCCAGCAUUUUUCUCUUUUUAGUAGAAUUUGUUUGCUUUAUAAAAGGUGAUGGAAACAACGCGGGCUUUGGGGCCCAUGCCCCCUGGGGUCAGACUUGGGCUCUGCCACUUUCUCACUGUGUGGCCGUGGACAGGCGACUCGGCCUCUCUGAACUCAGCUUCCUCGCUUUGAAAACCGGAUGGUGCCAGCCCCUGCGUGUUGCCCUGAAAAUGAAGCGGGGCCACCCAGCCACGCACCUCUUGCGGCAUCCAUCUGCUGGCACACAGGCCGCCAGGUGUCCGACCACACCCGGGGCAUCACAGGGACCCACACCACAGGGGCAAGCAGUGAGGCCCCACACCGGGGGCUGGCCGCCCGCGCACUUGGUGCCUGUCCUGUGCCAGUCACUCCUGCCGGGGGCGGCUCGCACGCGGUCCAGUCUACAGACUCAGAAGCUUCUCUCCCAGCCCUUCCAAGCUCUGCUUUGGGAUUCCUGUAGAUUUGCGGGACUGUUGCUUUUCUCCCAGCGAAGGCAUCAUGAACCACGUCUCAGCAUACGAAUGGUCAGUAGGAGAAUUCAAGGCCUCUAAGGCUGGGGGGGGGUGCGCAGCUGGCACAGGGCCCGGCUCUGGUUGUGGGCGACCUUUGACAGGGUGCACGGGUGCCCGACAGCCACCGCAGGCACGACGGGAAACCAGCCCGGAGCACACCGAGCCUCCCGAUUGUGGAAAUGACUAGGGCCCUGUGAACGUAGCCAAGGAGAUGGUCAAAUGGCCCCAUAGACCCCACUGCCGAGGGUGCGGAGCCAAAUCUUAGAAGCAUUUUGCAGAGAGGGAAUUCUCGGAAUGUCUUCCCUCGAGGGCCGCUGGAGGAAGCUACACAUUUGUAGCCCUGGGUCCUCCGACCAAGUCCGGGGCCCUCCAUUCCAGCCUGCCACGCCCAGGGCUGCCGGCCACCAGAGCCCAAGGUGGUGAUUCAAGCACUAAUAAUAAGCAUGCCAACUGAAGAAGGAGCUUCUCUACCGAGUCUGAGACAGGCUGUAAACUUCCGGAACCUCCUCCUUUCCUCUCCUACAAAUUAAAGAUAAUUACUUAGAAAUAAGUAUUGAAGUAUUUAUCCCGAUUUGUUUUGUUGUUAAGCCUUUUUAAAAAUCCCUAAGAUUAGCUGGCU
ensembl:lncRNA